GCAGUCGAGCGGUAAGGCCAUUCGGGGUACACGAGCGGCGAACGGGUGAGUAACACGUGGGUGAUCUGCCUCGCACUCUGGGAUAAGCCUGGGAAACUGGGUCUAAUACCGGAUAUGACCACGGAUCGCAUGGUUUGUGGUGGAAAGAUUUAUCGGUGCGAGAUGGGCCCGCGGCCUAUCAGCUUGUUGGUGGGGUAAUGGCCUACCAAGGCGACGACGGGUAGCCGACCUGAGAGGGUGACCGGCCACACUGGGACUGAGACACGGCCCAGACUCCUACGGGAGGCAGCAGUGGGGAAUAUUGCACAAUGGGCGAAAGCCUGAUGCAGCGACGCCGCGUGAGGGAUGACGGCCUUCGGGUUGUAAACCUCUUUCGACAGGGACGAAGCGCAAGUGACGGUACCUGUAGAAGAAGCACCGGCCAACUACGUGCCAGCAGCCGCGGUAAUACGUAGGGUGCGAGCGUUGUCCGGAAUUACUGGGCGUAAAGAGCUUGUAGGCGGUUCGUCGCGUCGAUUGUGAAAACUUGCAGCUCAACUGCAAGCUUGCAGUCGAUACGGGCGGACUAGAGUACUUCAGGGGAGACUGGAAUUCCUGGUGUAGCGGUGAAAUGCGCAGAUAUCAGGAGGAACACCGGUGGCGAAUCAGGAGGAACACCGGUGGCGAAGGCGUGUCUCUGGGAAGUAACUGACGCUGAGAAGCGAAAGCGUGGGUAGCGAACAGGAUUAGAUACCCUGGUAGUCCACGCCGUAAACGGUGGGUACUAGGUGUGGGUUUCCUUCCACGGGAUCCGUGCCGUAGCUAACGCAUUAAGUACCCCGCCUGGGGAGUACGGCCGCAAGGCUAAAACUCAAAGGAAUUGACGGGGGCCCGCACAAGCGGCGGAGCAUGUGGAUUAAUUCGAUGCAACGCGAAGAACCUUACCUGGGUUUGACAUACACCAGAAAGCCGUAGAGAUACGGCCCCCCUUGUGGUUGGUGUACAGGUGGUGCAUGGCUGUCGUCAGCUCGUGUCGUGAGAUGUUGGGUUAAGUCCCGCAACGAGCGCAACCCUUAUCUUAUGUUGCCAGCGCGUAAUGGCGGGGACUCGUGAGAGACUGCCGGGGUCAACUCGGAGGAAGGUGGGGACGACGUCAAGUCAUCAUGCCCCUUAUGUCCAGGGCUUCACACAUGCUACAAUGGCCGGUACAGAGGGCUGCGAUACCGUGAGGUGGAGCGAAUCCCUUAAAGCCGGUCUCAGUUCGGAUCGGGGUCUGCAACUCGACCCCGUGAAGUUGGAGUCGCUAGUAAUCGCAGAUCAGCAACGCUGCGGUGAAUACGUUCCCGGGCCUUGUACACACCGCCCGUCACGUCAUGAAAGUCGGUAACACCCGAAGCCGGUGGCCUAA
rnacentral:rRNA from 1 species